rnacentral:rRNA from 1 species
AGUCUAACAUAUGUGCAAGUUAUUGGGAGAUAAACCUAAUAGCGUAAUUAACUUGACUAAUAAUGGGAUUAGUUUUUUAACUAUUUAUAGAUAAUUAACACAAUCCCGGGGCGUUCUAUAUAGUUAUGUAUAAUAAUAUUUAUAUUAUUUAUGCCUCUAACUGGAACGUACCUUGAGCAUAUAUGCUGUGACCCGAAAGAUGGUGAACUAUACUUGAUCAGGUUGAAGUCAGGGGAAACCCUGAUGGAAGACCGAAACAGUUCUGACGUGCAAAUCGAUUGUCAGAAUUGAGUAUAGGGGCGAAAGACCAAUCGAACCAUCUAGUAGCUGGUUCCUUCCGAAGUUUCCCUCAGGAUAGCUGGUGCAUUUUAAUGUUAUAUAAAAUAAUCUUAUCUGGUAAAGCGAAUGAUUAGAGGCCUUAGGGUCGAAACGAUCUUAACCUAUUCUCAAACUUUAAAUGGGUAAGAACCUUAACUUUCUUGAUAUGAAGUUUAAGGUUAUGAUAUAAUGUGCCCAGUGGGCCACUUUUGGUAAGCAGAACUGGCGCUGUGGGAUGAACCAAACGUAAUGUUACGGUGCCCAAAUUAACAACUCAUGCAGAAACCAUGAAAGGCGUUGGUUGCUUAAAACAGCAGGACGGUGAUCAUGGAAGUCGAAAUCCGCUAAGGAGUGUGUAACAACUCACCUGCCGAAGCAACUAGCCCUUAAAAUGGAUGGCGCUUAAGUUGUAUACCUAUACAUUACCGCUAAAGUAGAUGAUUUAUAUUACUUGUGAUAUAAAUUUUGAAACUUUAGUGAGUAGGAAGGUACAAUGGUAUGCGUAGAAGUGUUUGGCGUAAGCCUUCAUGGAGCUGCCAUUGGCACAGAUCUUGGUGGUAGUAGCAAAUAAUCGAAUGAGACCUUGGAGGACUGAAGUGGAGAAGGGUUUCGUGUGAACAGUGGUUGAUCACGAGUUAGUCGGUCCUAAGUUCAAGGCGAAAGCCGAAAAUUUUCAAGUAAAAAAUCAGUGAGUAAUAUUGUCAAAUCUUUUAUGAUUUUUAAAUACUUGAAUAAUUUUGAACGAAAGGGAAUACGGUUCCAAUUCCGUAACCUGUUGAGUAUCCGUUUGUUAUUAAAUAUGGGCCUCGUGCUCAUCCUGGCAACAGGAACGACCAUAAAGAAGCCGUCGAGAGAUAUCGGAAGAGUUUUCUUUUCUGUUUUAUAGCCGUACUACCAUGGAAGUCUUUCGCAGAGAGAUAUGGUAGAUGGGCUAGAAGAGCAUGACAUAUACUGUUGUGUCGAUAUUUUCUCCUCGGACCUUGAAAAUUUAUGGUGGGGACACGCAAACUUCUCAACAGGCCGUACCAAUAUCCGCAGCUGGUCUCCAAGGUGAAGAGUCUCUAGUCGAUAGAAUAAUGUAGGUAAGGGAAGUCGGCAAAUUAGAUCCGUAACUUCGGGAUAAGGAUUGGCUCUGAAGAUUGAGAUAGUCGGGCUUGAUUGGGAAACAAUAACAUGGUUUAUGUGCUCGUUCUGGGUAAAUAGAGUUUCUAUCAUUUAUGGUAGUUACUUGUUCCCCGGAUAGUUUAGUUACGUAGCCAAUUGUGGAACUUUCUUGCUAAAAUUUUUAAGAAUACUAAUUGGGUUAAACCAGUUAGUUCUUAUUAAUUAUAACGAUUAUCAAUUAACAAUCAAUUCAGAACUGGCACGGACUUGGGGAAUCCGACUGUCUAAUUAAAACAAAGCAUUGUGAUGGCCCUAGCGGGUGUUGACACAAUGUGAUUUCUGCCCAGUGCUCUGAAUGUCAAAGUGAAGAAAUUCAAGUAAGCGCGGGUCAACGGCGGGAGUAACUAUGACUCUCUUAAGGUAGCCAAAUGCCUCGUCAUCUAAUUAGUGACGCGCAUGAAUGGAUUAACGAGAUUCCUACUGUCCCUAUCUACUAUCUAGCGAAACCACAGCCAAGGGAACGGGCUUGGAAUAAUUAGCGGGGAAAGAAGACCCUUUUGAGCUUGACUCUAAUCUGGCAGUGUAAGGAGACAUAAGAGGUGUAGCAUAAGUGGGAGAUAUUAGAUUUCGGUUUGGUAUCGACAAUGAAAUACCACUACUCUUAUUGUUUCCUUACUUACUUGAUUAAAUGGAACGUGUAUCAUUUCCUAGCCAUUAUACGGAUAUAUUUAUUAUAUCUUAUGGUAUUGGGUUUUGAUGCAAGCUUCUUGAUCAAAGUAUCACGAGUUUGUUAUAUAAUCGCAAACAAAUUCUUUAAUGAGAAAAUGCAUUUAUGUAUUUUCAAUUUGAAAAUUUGGUAUAACUCCAAUUACUCAGGUAUGAUCCAAUUCAAGGACAUUGCCAGGUAGGGAGUUUGACUGGGGCGGUACAUCUCUCAAAUAAUAACGGAGGUGUCCCAAGGCCAGCUCAGUGCGGACAGAAACCACACAUAGAGCAAAAGGGCAAAUGCUGACUUGAUCUCGGUGUUCAGUACACACAGGGACAGCAAAAGCUCGGCCUAUCGAUCCUUUUGGUUUAAAGAGUUUUUAACAAGAGGUGUCAGAAAAGUUACCAUAGGGAUAACUGGCUUGUGGCGGCCAAGCGUUCAUAGCGACGUCGCUUUUUGAUCCUUCGAUGUCGGCUCUUCCUAUCAUUGUGAAGCAAAAUUCACCAAGCGUUGGAUUGUUCACCCAUGCAAGGGAACGUGAGCUGGGUUUAGACCGUCGUGAGACAGGUUAGUUUUACCCUACUAAUGACAAAACGUUGUUGCGACAGCAUUCCUGCGUAGUACGAGAGGAACCGCAGGUACGGACCAAUGGCACAAUACUUGUUCGAGCGAACAGUGGUAUGACGCUACGUCCGUUGGAUUAUGCCUGAACGCCUCUAAGGUCGUAUCCGUGCUGGACUGCAAUGAUAAAUAAGGGGCAAUUUGCAUUGU